AACCAUAAUAGGUGCUAAGAGCUGCAGUAAAAGGGCUGCUUAAAUUGUCAGCUAACAACAUAAUCUAGCCUUCUUGUGUCUGUCACUGUCUGUAUAAUACAUUUUGCCAAGGGUGUGACUUUUGAGCAAGACCAUUGUUUGGAGACAAAGCCAGCAGGUACAGAUGGAGUCAGAGCAACUUUCCAAGAACCCUGUGGAUUCCUCAUGGAAGAGGCAAUGAGGAUGCCCAGUGGCACUGCCACACAAUGAUGGAAAUGGCUAACCAAUGAGUCUUACAUCAUUCCACCUACCUAUCCAGAGGGACACAGAGUUGUAUGACACUCUGCAACGAUCUUGGCUGUCCAUAGGUUAGAAGAUGUGAAACUUCAGUGAGUGGUGUGAUAGCAGGUUGGACCACUCCCAUAGGGACAACAUUCCCUUUCAAGCAUGGGAGAAAGUUAGAGUCAAGCAACUUUCUGGUAUGCCAGAAUGGUA